rnacentral:rRNA from 1 species
GACGAACGCUGGCGGCGUGCUUAACACAUGCAAGUCGAACGGAAAGGCCCUGCUUUUGUGGGGUGCUCGAGUGGCGAACGGGUGAGUAACACGUGAGUAACCUGCCCUUGACUUUGGGAUAACUUCAGGAAACUGGGGCUAAUACCGGAUAGGAGCUCCUGCUGCAUGGUGGGGGUUGGAAAGUUUCGGCGGUUGGGGAUGGACUCGCGGCUUAUCAGCUUGUUGGUGGGGUAGUGGCUUACCAAGGCUUUGACGGGUAGCCGGCCUGAGAGUGUGACCGGCCACAUUGGGACUGAGAUACGGCCCAGACUCCUACGGGAGGCAGAAGUGAGGAAUAUUGCACGAUGGGCGGAAGCCUUAUGCAGCAACGCCGCGUGCGGGAUGACGGCCUUCGGGUUGUAAACCGCUUUCGCCUGUGACGAAGCGUGAGUGACGGUAAUGGGUAAAGAAGCACCGGCUAACUACGUG